AUUAAGGUAGCUCAAGAAGAGUAUUGCAUUGAAGCUGCAGUGUUGACCUAUUGGUCCCUUGAUA
rnacentral:tRNA from 1 species